AGUCGAACGAAGUAGCAAUACUUAGUGGCAGACGGGUGAGUAACAUGUAGGUAUCUGCCCUUUGGCCUGGAAUAACACGAGGAAACUUGUGCUAAUACUGGAUAAGUCUUUACAGAGAAAGCUUUAUGCACCAUUGGAUGAGCCUGCACUUGAUUAGUUUGUUGGUGGGGUAAUGGCCUACCAAGACUUUGAUCAAUAGCUGAUUUGAGAGGAUGAUCAGCCACAUUGGGACUGAGACACGGCCCAAACUCCUACGGGAGGCAGCAGUGGGGAAUCUUGCACAAUGGAGGAAACUCUGAUGCAGCGAUGCCGCGUGAGUGAAGAAGGCCCUUGGGUUGUAAAGCUCUUUCGUCGGGGAAGAAAAUGACUGUACCCGAAUAAGAAGGUCCGGCUAACUUCGUGCCAGCAGCCGCGGUAAUACGAAGGGACCUAGCGUAGUUCGGAAUUACUGGGCUUAAAGAGUUCGUAGGUGGUUGAAAAAGUUGGUGGUGAAAUCCCAGAGCUUAACUCUGGAACUGCCAUCAAAACUUUUCAGCUAGAGUAUGAUAGAGGAAAGCAGAAUUUCUAGUGUAGAGGUGAAAUUCGUAGAUAUUAGAAAGAAUACCAAUUGCGAAGGCAGCUUUCUGGAUCAUUACUGACGCUGAGGAACGAAAGCAUGGGUAGCGAAGAGGAUUAGAUACCCUCGUAGUCUCAUGCCGUAAACGAUGUGUGUUAGACGUUGGAAAUUUAUUUUCAGUGUCGCAGUGAAAGCGAUAAACA
rnacentral:rRNA from 1 species